rnacentral:rRNA from 1 species
UACAGAGGGGGCAAGCGUUAUUCGGAAUUAUUGGGCGUAAAGGGCGCGUAGGCGGCUUUGCACGUGACGGGUGAAAUCCCUCGGCUUAACCGAGGAACUGCCUGUCAGACUGCAUGGCUUGAGACCAGGAGAGGUGAGUGGAAUUCCCAGUGUAGCGGUGAAAUGCGUAGAUAUUGGGAGGAACACCAGUGGCGAAGGCGGCUCACUGGACUGGUACUGACGCUGAUGCGCGAAAGCGUGGGGAGCAAACAGG